rnacentral:sRNA from 2 species
GAGCAGCGCAUCUAGGGUUCCGCCUCAUUCGUUGUUGUGAGGGACUGGUCCGAGAGAUGCCGCCGCUGCGGCAAAUUCCGCGCGGUACACGGCGGGGCAAAAUCCCGGGAGAG